CCCCUAGACGUUCUGGGCUGCACGCACGCUACAAUAAUACGCACAGCGAGUAUCACCGAGCUCGAAAGGGCAAGGUAAACAAUAGAAAAGGUACUGUAAUGGUUAUAGAUCCUUGUAAUUAUUGAUCUUCAACGAGGAAUUCCUAGUAAGUAUGUGUCAUCAUCACGCACUGAUUACGUCCCUGCCCUUUGUACACACCGCCCGUCGCUCCUACCGAUUGGGUGAGCCGAUGAAACUCUCGGAUGUAGGCUAUUCAUAGCCCGCAGAAGAGAUUUGAAUCGUAGCGCUUAGAGGAAGGAGAAGUCGUAACA
rnacentral:rRNA from 1 species